UKRGAUWUGGCCCAGAUYGUUUACCGUGAAAAAAUUAGAGUGUUCAAAGCAGGCAGAUCCAAUUUUYUGCCACCGAAUMCAUUAGCAUGGGAUAAUGGAAUAGGACCCUGUCCUCCUAUUUUCAGUUGGUUUUGGCAGCGCGAGGACUAGGGUAAUGAUUAAUAGGGAUAGUUGGGGGCAUUAAUAUUUAAUUGUCAGAGGKGAAAUUCUUGGAUUUAUGAAAGAUUAACUUYUGCGAAAGCAUCUGCCAAGGAUGUUUUCAUUAAUCAAGAACGAAAGUUAGGGGAUYGAAGRCGAUCAGAUACCGUYGUAGUYUUAACCAUAAACGAUGCCGACCAGCGAUUAGGAGACGUUGAAUACAAAACACCACCAUSGGYYGCGGUYGUCCUGGCGUMUCACUUCCCCAGCGGCGYGUGARAGGCCCCCAUUUUC
rnacentral:rRNA from 1 species